UAACACUCUCUCUAGCCAAUUUCGCUAUUCGAUCUGCCGAUACCACAAACUCAUCCCUCCUCAGAUCCAUAACAUCCUUGAUCAUCUUCUCGAUCACCGCUCGAUCACAAGUAUCUUUCAUGUCGAUCCCAAGCUUCCAUACCUCACUUACAAACCUACUAUUCACUUGUUGGUCCACAAAGUAAGGCCAACAAACCAUUGGCACACCCUCCACCAUACUCUCUAAAGUCGAGUUCCACCCACUGUGAGUCAAAAAUCCACCAAUAGCUGGGUGAGCCAACACCUCCUCCUGCGGGGCCCAACUCACUAACCACCCACUCUCCGCCGUAGCCUCCAAGACCUCCUUCGGAAUCUGACCCUCCCAGUCGCCA
rnacentral:misc_RNA from 1 species